rnacentral:lncRNA from 1 species
AGCUUGCCUACCUCGACUCUAUCAACUAACAAAUACUGAUGAAACAGGAAAGGAAGACCACCUCUCUUAUCUUGUACUAAACUACUGGCUCCCCUUUCUUGACUUCCCCGCUUCAAAGCCAGUACUUGACUCUGCAACUUACAAUAAGGGCCACUUACUAAAAGGGUUGGACUUCAACAAGCCUACCAAGGCCUACCAAGUAUGUAAGUAAGUAAACAAAGUAAGUCAACCUGCCUAACUAGUAUAGGAAUGACACAAGCCUAACCUGCCCUCGUAAGUGAAAUAAUUUGAAAAACAUUAAUAUAACGGAUAAACGACUGGAAUUGGCUUCUCUACCGACUCAGUACACAAACAGUAGAUUUCAAUAGGACUUGGUUAUCCAUCUCAUCAUACUCCGGUAUUGUAUUUCAUAUAACAACUAUCAAUCUUAUCCGCGUUGUCUUACCCGUUUAGAGCUACAGCACCAACAGCAGGAUUACACUGCCAGUACUAUACCUCGCCUCGCUUCAAAGGCAUUCCAUCUGGUCGAUAAAAAGAUUCAACAAGAGAGCAGGUACCUCUCAUCUACCUCGGGCUACUGGCAACUCCUAUAUCUAUCCUAUAGCUCUGGCAACUGGUAACAUCUCUUUCUUCUGAUCCUAAGUAUCCACUUGUUUGUAGGCUAUGCUUGCUUCCUUGAGAACUUGAACAUUCCCACUUUCAUUCUUUCUUUUAUAAGUGAUGAAACUCGUUGUGCCAACUCAAUAAUUUGCAUUUCCUCUUUCUUGAUAUGAGUAUCUAAGGUGGUGGGAUAGCACUUUUCAACAACUCCCUUCCCUUAUGCUAAAGUAAAGUCAAGAUGAUAGGCGUCAAAGCAUUAGAGGAACAUUUCGCUACUUCAAGAAGUUGAGUUACCUGGGCAACAGGGAAAUACUGAAGAUAUAAUAAGAGACAUACAUACUUCAUUUAGUAGAGAAAUAGCCUGGGCCAGAGCUAAACAAAUCCAUCUUUUUUAUCGGUCUAUUAGCGAAAAUUCCCUUGUCUCUCUCUUCUCUGGCGGAUUCUAAUAAGGGGUGCAAUUCUGCCUUUCGGUCUGUUACUACUUAGUUCCAUUCUUAGACCUAAUAAGUAGUCUGCUCCUCUUCAUUAUAUGCAAUGGUUUAUGUUCUUUGACCUAUAUCCUAUACUAAAACUCUGGCUCAGUCAACUAAGAAAGUUAGGGCUCAUCCACCGGAGUCAACUAAUGACAUUCGAAAUCAUUCCAACGAGUAGAAUUCUUAGCCUUAUACUGACUAGUGGAAUUCUGCACUCACUGUCAACUACCCCCUUUUCCCUUUAGCACUGGUUAUUGCCCAACUUACUAGAAGGGCCUAUACUGUUACGGAUUAUAAUAAGGGGUUCCAUUCUGGAAUUCAUAUACUAGAGCAUCUGGCAACCUUACUAAGUAGGGGCUUGAACCACUAACAACAAGAAUGAAGGGUCGCACUAAGGAAUCAGAGAAGAAUAAGUAGGAGUAGCUCCAUUCUUAGGUUAACUAGCUCAAUUCUAUCCCUUAGCAGCCCCGAACACAGGAUUAGAUGCACCGGUUGUAGCCUUAGCAACAGUAGUGUGAGACCUUAGCUACCCAGCAACAACAUAGAUGCAUUAUAACUCGUUAGAACCAAGUCCUGAUUAAACCCUUCCUAACAAGUACAGUGGUUAGUACUUUCAAAUGCUCUAGACUUUUCUGAUUUAUUUGUGAUUUGUGAUUUGAUGGUUUCUUUAGACCUACUCUUUCCUCUGAUCUUGCUCCCGAACAAUUCUAUUUCUGUGGACAGGCCGGAUUGGGGCAUAAAAUGAACUGGAGCUGCACUAAAUUAGUUGGAUAGCAAAUAUUACAUUGAAAACCUGCUUAGGGGCAAAAAAGUCAUUUAUUACUAGAUUCUUGAGGGUUCCCUUGGCCCUGUUUCAGCCAACAAGCAACUACUAAUGUUGUGCGUUAGUCCGGCUACGGUUUCUUUAAUAAUAACAGAUAGUUUCUUUAAUAAUAACAUCCAUUUUGAUACGAAAGAAGGUAGAAAGGAAAUGGUAUAAUAUAUAUAGGACUCUGGAAUAACGAGUGUAAUCUAGUUUCUUUAAUAAGAAGAGAGAUUGGGAGUCCAAAUGAACCGCCAAGACACUACUAAUGUGUCGCGGCAGCCGGAAUAACGGCCAAGGCACGACUACUGUGCCGCGGCAGCAACGAAUAACGAGUCUUACGAGUUAUGAGCAAGUCCAGUAUCUUAGAGUUAUGACCAAGUCCUGUUUACGNNNNNNNNNNNNNNNNNNNNNNNNNNNNNNNNNNNNNNNNNNNNNNNNNNNNNNNNNNNNNNNNNNNNNNNNNNNNNNNNNNNNNNNNNNNNNNNNNNNNNNNNNNNNNNNNNNNNNNNNNNNNNNNNNNNNNNNNNNNNNNNNNNNNNNNNNNNNNNNNNNNNNNNNNNNNNNNNNNNNNNNNNNNNNNNNNNNNNNNNNNNNNNNNNNNNNNNNNNNNNNNNNNNNNNNNNNNNNNNNNNNNNNNNNNNNNNNNNNNNNNNNNNNNNNNNNNNNNNNNNNNNNNNNNNNNNNNNNNNNNNNNNNNNNNNNNNNNNNNNNNNNNNNNNNNNNNNNNNNNNNNNNNNNNNNNNNNNNNNNNNNNNNNNNNNNNNNNNNNNNNNNNNNNNNNNNNNNNNNNNNNNNNNNNNNNNNNNNNNNNNNNNNNNNNNNNNNNNNNNNNNNNNNNNNNNNNNNNNNNNNNNNNNNNNNNNNNNNNNNNNNNNNNNNNNNNNNNNNNNNNNNNNNNNNNNNNNNNNNNNNNNNNNNNNNNNNNNNNNNNNNNNNNNNNNNNNNNNNNNNNNNNNNNNNNNNNNNNNNNNNNNNNNNNNNNNNNNNNNNNNNNNNNNNNNNNNNNNNNNNNNNNNNNNNNNNNNNNNNNNNNNNNNNNNNNNNNNNNNNNNNNNNNNNNNNNNNNNNNNNNNNNNNNNNNNNNNNNNNNNNNNNNNNNNNNNNNNNNNNNNNNNNNNNNNNNNNNNNNNNNNNNNNNNNNNNNNNNNNNNNNNNNNNNNNNNNNNNNNNNNNNNACCUUCCAUUCUAUCUGAUUAUAGUGAUUAGUUUUGAUUUGUUUAUUAUGUGUUUAGCGUCGGCUCGUUCCUUUCUGAUAGUGGUAUAAUGGUACAAAGCAUUCUUCCCUCGUUCCUUUCCUCACCCCUAACGUUACUAGUUUUACUACUUUUUCUUAUUCUUAUGGGUCUCAAGCAUUCUCCCUUUUUGGAUACGAAAUCUAUGCUACUAUAAACACUUAUUUCCAUCCCGCAAUCCAUCCUACUAUCAAACACUUAUUUCCAUCCAUCUCUAAUCUCUAUCGCUUGCUCCAAUCUAAAUCGUUAUAUCUUUCUCGUUAUCAAACACGGAUUUCCAUCCUUGCUCUAAUUUCGCUCUAAUCCCAAUAAUAGGAAAACAUCUCCCUUAAUUCCGUUCUAUCUAUAUCAUUAUCAAACACUUUAUUUGCAUCCAUCUCUAAUUUCAAUAAUAGGAAAACAGCUCCCUUAACCCCAUACUUCUAAGCAACACUUCUAAGCAAAAGAAAGCCGCUUCCAUGCAUGCUCCUACAUAGUGGUCGCUACGGGUCCAAUGAGAAAGUGUUUUCUGUCAAAUUCCUUUUAGGGUAAGCCGCCCUAUCAAACCCCAAUAAAUGCCUUUCCUCGUUAGGUUGGGCUGGAAUAACAAAAUCAGUAUCGCUUCCAUGGUUGUCCAUAAGGUGACGUUAACAAAAGGUAACGGCAAUCUCCGAAAAUACUUGCUUCUUACGCUUUCCAGAGCAGAGGAGACUGCUGAAAGGAAAAAGGUGGAUAAAGGAGUCAUUCUCAAAAGAAUAAAUGAAGGGUUCCAAAGACUCGAAGUUUCCACUAUUAUUGUCGCUCAUGGGGAAGACACCUCAAAAGGAGCCUAUUUUCAAGCUGGAAUUCUUUUAAAGAUAGGUGUACAAAGAAGAAGUACGCCCAGGACUUUCAGAAGGAUCUUCCCUGAAUUUAAGGGGGGGCAGCUCGAUCUUAAAUACUUUAAGGCUUGGGCUUCGCUGUGCAAAUAUCUCCUCGAUGCUGUAAAGGAAGAUCCCGCGCCACUGGUGUGGGGCAAUCAGUCUCUGCAGCAAAUCAAAGAUAUGGCUUUAGCACAAACUCGGCAUAAAUUAAUUCCACUUCCGGGUGCUAAGGAGAUAAGGCCUAGAAGCAGAGAAGUGAUCCACAAAUUAGGAUCAAUUGACGAGUGGGACCAAGUGUAUAAAGUCAAUGAAAUCUCUGAUGCGCUUCUUUUUUCUUACAACAAUGUCCGGUCUAUGUAUGAGGAUUUGCAAGUACAAAAAACACUCUACGGGGGUGCGCUUCAUGAUAGGCUCGCCAAGUACUUGGAGGAAAGGGGUUGGCCCGAAGAAUAUUCCUACGCGGAGAUUCUCGAAAAGUACAUCUUUCUGGAUUGGUUAUCAGUGAAUUUUCUAUUUAACAGGCCAAUAAAGACAAAGCAGCUCUUAUUAUAUGGUCGGCCCAGUACUCAAAAAACAUUAUGCCUUGAAAUGUUGGGCGAAGUCUUGAAUAUCUACCAUGCGAGUGCCCGUAAGAAUGACUUUACCGGCGCUCACGACAACUACGAUCUUUGGGUUUUGGAUGAGUUUAACAUAACGGAAGACAGGAACACAGCAUUGUAUUUGAGGCAAGAAACAAUGGCUGCGGAGAAUAAUACACUGCUUCGAGUUUUAGAUGGGCAAAAGUGUCGGUUAGAUUCAAAGUAUGGCAAAAUUAUUUAUAAAAAAAAGAAUGUUACAGUAAUAACCAUCAUGAAUUCGCCGCCACUAAGCAUCCGCGUACGAGGUCCUUUUCAUGAGCGAUUUAUGCGCUUAAGAUUCGAUUCUAACAUUCCUAACCUGCAAAGCGAAAGACUCAUAGCCACCCUAUAUGGAUGUAUGUUACGUAGGCUCCGUCAGAAAAAUACAACAUGGGAAAUGGCAAAGAAAAUAGAUCUUAAAUACAAUGAAGCGCAAGGCGAAAUGGAGUUCCAAGUACCAGCAGAUAGAUUAACACAGCAACAACUAAAGCGUGGCGAGGCAAUCAGAGAAUCAAUUGAAGGGCUCCUGUCAACUGGUGAUAAAGCAGCGCUACUGGUCAAUAAAAGCAAUGGUGAUGGGGUUUAUACUGCUAUGGUGGCUGUAGAGACUCGGUAUCCAUAUGAUUUUCACAAACGCGGCGAAUAUAUCCAUCUUGCAGCACAAAUGCUAUACUAUGAGAUAUAUAACGUAGAAGUCGAUAGGGCGCCUGCCCCCGUUAAUCAAGGGGAAAGCUUCUCCUUACUUGAAUUUGCUUUUGUGCCACUCAGAAAGCUAGAGGAAGAUUGUCAAAAUAGGAAGAUAGUCCACAGCCAAAACAUCGAAUGGAAGAUACAAAAUACAUAUCGACGGCAAUGGCGGCCACUUUCCGUGGGGAUACUAAGCAAAGAGGCGCCCGUACAUAAUCUUCAGUGGUUAACCGUAGCAGAGGAGCGAGAAAGACACAAAAGAGAAUUCCGUAAAGAAGACAUAGCCUACUUUGCUGCCUGGCCACUUCAGGCAUAUUGUAAAGGCUUUUCAACAUCCAAUGGAAUGAGAAUGACCUAUAUAAACAGUUUAUUCUGGGAUGAAUUCUGGAUAAAGGAACCCUUCUUUAGAAAAGGUCAAACAUAUCUUGUUGAGGAGCAGGACGACCAACCAUGCAACGCAGAAGACAAAGGCUACGAGUUUUCAGGGGGAAGCUCGCCGGUGCCUCGAGAAAACAACGAGGAGGAGAGCAAUGAGAAAGUUGAUAAGCCCAUACGCGGAACCAUAAGGCAAACCGUUGAGGUCACCUUUAAGGUCGCCGGAGGAACUAUCAGACAACGAGAACAGGAGGAAGGGGAGGAUGAACCUCGGACUUCAGAAAUAUGGGAGCCUGAAGAUGCCUAAGGAACACAAAUAGGAUCAAAUUCGUAUAUUCGUAUAUUUGUGGUGCGGGGGCUAUGGCGUUUACUAUUGACUUCUUGGCGAGGACAGCUAGCUUCGGUUAUUUACUUCUUUGGUGGGGCAGUUAGCCUUUCUCUUUACUUCAAAGGGAGUGAAUAGUAUGGGUUCGUUCGUUUCUUUACUUCACAGGCAGUGCUGGUUUUCAAUAAGUCAUCUCUGUGCGACAGGAAGUUCUUUUGACUUCGAGUGCUGUCACCUAGGAUUGGGCUACGCUUGUUUAUAGAUGAGAGAAAAGGAAGGAAAUCCGCUACGUAAGAUGGUGUUGGUACACAUUCCACGGAUCCUACUAUUGACAGACCAGAUUCAUUUCUAGGGGUUCGAGGCAAGUAUCAUGCUAACAUUUCCUAUUAUACGGGUUCUCGAGAUUAUAAAUCAUAUUCCAUUCGAGUAUAGGGUUUUGCUUGGGGUUAACAAAAGAUAUUUCUUCUUAUCCCAUGCCCAGAAAAGAGAUAGAAGAUAGGCUGUCAAUAUAGCAGUCAGGUUCUAUUAUUUACCCUCACUCGGGUCUUUCACUAUUCCAGUCUUUCCAGUUGGGGUAGAAUCCCUCAGUAUAGGGAAGUCUAGGUCCCUUCAUAAUUGCAUAAAAAGUAGCUAGGGAAGUUAUUCUUAUUGGGCCAAGCAACUAAGUAAGACGUUGUGAGGUGAGCUACUGGUAUUGGUAGUAAUUCCCCGAUGCUAGGGUAUUUGUGGAAUUCCUAUACGAGGCUAGGGUAUUGGAAGAAAAGAAAAGCGUCUGUCCUAGAAGAAGGAAUCAAAUCCCCUAUAGGUCCAGGUCGAAGGCUCUCUCUCUCAGAAGGGUGGCGAAGGAAAGAGCCAUAGACUCUCUUAGCAAUAUAAGUUCACUGAUUAUGAGACAAGAUAUAUGGUUUUAGAAAAGACCUGCUGUGCUCUUACAUGGGCCUCGCAACGUCUACGCCACUAAAUGUUUCACUAUGCGACCGCAAGGAUGGACGGACCGGACCCGCUUCAGUCUCUCUUUGAAAAGCCAGCCUCGGUGAAAUCCUUAGCCCCAAGAACAGGAAUAACAGCAGGAAAGAGAUUCCAAAAAAGAGAAAAGAGCUGCCUGCCAGAAUAGGCUGCUAGAAUCGAAUAGGUUGUUAAGGAAGGAAGCAAGAACUAAGCUUCGUCCCUCGGAGUCUGCUACUUCGAUCACGUAAAGAAGACCUUCGGCUCGGCAAUAUGGAACUUAGAAACUGCUCCCGUUCCUUUAUGAGGAUCAAAUAGACCCGAGCCUUUCGCCUCCCCCCUUCCCUUAUGAAAUGAAGUAGAAAGUAUGAACUUAGUAGUCGGCAUUCUAUAAGCUACUUGUCGAGUCGACUUCGCUUUGCUUCUUGUAGUCGGCCCUUAAUGCCUCCCUUCAUUUGCUUGCCUCCUUCCAGCUCAGAAUGCUUGGCCUCCUGCGCCAAGUCGAUUUAUGAGGCUUCCCUGAAGCUUAGCUUCUACGACGAGUCGCUUCUAUCCUUCUCGACUCUAGAUGGCGGAGAAAGAAAGAAUACGGGUGAGCUUACGCUUACUCUCUGCCUCUGGGAUUGGUAGGCGGGCGGCCCCCUACGACUUUGGAUUCUAUUAAGAAGGUACUUGUCGUGACGCUUUGGUUAGGUCGACUACUAUACUCUGGACUUAUAGCUUCGAGAGUGGCCCUGUUGCUUUGGUGUAGUUGUAGUUUGUAUUGGUACUGAAUGAACAUAUCAAACAAAGGCUAGCAGUAUAAGCCCUUCUUCCUUUGGCCUGGGAAAAGCAGCGAACUCUAGAAGCAAGGAAAGGAGCUUUUUUUGACCUUUGGACACGAACACUAUUCCGUUCUAAGCGGAAACCAGCCGGAGUUCGUCGACUUAUCUUAUUGCUCGAGUUCGUCGACUUAUCUUAUUGCUCAGACUGCGCUGAUAGCUUGUAGUGAACUCCCUUAUGAAACCAACCGAAAGCUGCCUAUUCAGAAAAAGGCUAAGUGGCCCCCUAGUGAUUGCAAGAGAAGAGAGAGUGCGCUGUUGAUGAUAUACAUUGCAUAACCAUACUCAAGCAUAGUGAAAGUCAACUCCAUUGUUGGAAGCAAGACCCAUUAUGCCAACUCUAAAGCUAGCUCCUUACUCUCGGGGAGAGGCAAGAUCAGAGAAUACCUUCCCUAAUAUAAGAAUAAUAGACUGCUGACUGCUCGGCGAUUUAGAGGAGAUAAUACCCGAUACUGAAAGACAGAAGCAAACGGAUCCACUCGCUAAACUCACUAGUUGGUAGUUAUCAUAGGCACUCGCAAGCAAUCGAUAUCGAAAAACGAACUUGUCCACAACAACGAAAAAGAGUAUUUGUAUUCUCCCCUCUUCCGGCACUCCUGUAACCUGCUCAUUCCAAUUUGCAAGCCAUCGUAACUGACGCUGGAAAGCACGCGAAAGAAGCAGCCGAAUAAGCCAAAAAACAAACCCUUAGGAUUCGCCUGAUAGGUCUUGCUUUAAUCAGUAGGGGCCUCGUACCAUGCUUCGUUCCCCUUUCUAGGAAUUCUCCUAUUUACCCUUUCUAGGAAUUCUCCUAUCAUAAGGAGGACGCGUCGAAAGAUUGCUUUUAUGUGGUUGGGGGUUGGUUGUUGUGAAAACUCACUCUAAGAUCACCUAGCCGAUCCCUAAUAGCCCUUUGGAUUGAUUUCAACCGAUCUGCUUUCCAUAUUGAUUGCGCGCGGGUCUACGAGACAUGGGACGUCAGGGCAACUAACACUCAGGCUUCAGUUAAGGCGAGGCCCGGACGUGAUGGAAGCAUCUGGUAUGUAGAAUGUACAAGAGUAAGAGGAUGAGGCCUUCGGGUAUUCUUUGAAACCGAACGGCAGCCUCACUUCAUUCAUGCAUGGGCCGAAAGCAAACCAAUGCCUUUCCUUUAGUGGUCGCGCAGUUGGACAUAAGAGUCUAAUUAGUUCUUUCUUUCUUUCAUCUUUCUUUUCCAUAAUUCUUUCUUUCUUUCAUCUUUCUUUUCCAUAAUUCUUUCAUUAUAUUACGGAUCAUGUAAACGGAGACCUUUCGAAGGUUCCCUAGAUCUUAUCCAACUAGAUCUUAUCCAACCAGGAUCUCGGUGUUCAGAUCAAUGUCAUCUAGGGUUGGUUCGAUCAGUGGUUGCUGGGGUAAUCUUACCUGGAGCAGAUCGUAGGGAGACACGAGACGGAAAGUUCCUUAGGGUCGACUAAAAGGAGAGGAACAUGAUAGACUCGACCGAGCUUCUCCUCUUUAUUAUUGAUUGAUGGCUCCUGAGCGCUGUUCGUAGGAAAGCUCCGAGUAAGAAGCCCUUCCAUCUCUAGCUGAUCUGGCGCUCACGUGACCGACUGUGAGAGAUCUGUAACUUCCAGAGGGUUAUGAGAGCGAGCUUUUGCCCUAUUGAGAAAAGGUAAUGAGCUCUGUUAUGAGUGAGUGGGCUUUCUUUCGUUGAUCAGGAACUUAACCCAUUCCUUCGUAUCGCUCCCCCUUACUGCCACUUUUUCGCUUAUUCAUUAGGGCUCUGUGACUCGAGUAACAAGAGCUCCACGCUAGAGCACAAAAGAACGGCAUCUCUCUAUCGGAUUGCCCUGGUAUCCCAUUGGCUUACCCCGACGGUCGUUCUGAUAGACUUGCUCGCGUUAUUUGGCUUCUCUGUCCCUGGAACAAGAUAUCCUCUCUUUAUUGAAUCUAAAUCUAGGAAAUACCUCUGGGAAUUUAUUAAUCUAAAUCUAGGAAAUACCUCUGGGAAUUGAUCGCUGUAAAAGGCAAUAGGUCUACCUUCUUAUUGGCAAAGCACCACUCCAAUGCCUAGUGAGCACUUCGAAUACCUUUGAUAAAUCGGGUAAAGCACAUACUGCCACUUCUUGGAAAAGCCUACUUUGCUUUAGCAGGCGAGCGGAGUCAAGCGUUAGCUUCCCUAGAAAGGAGUUGGUGAUUGACUUUCUGAUUCUGAUUCAUUUGCUGGAUCGGGAAAACUCUCCUGCCGCACUUUUCGCUCACUUUAGCUAGAACGAAACCUUUCCUGGACCACACCUCGCGGAAGCUUAUGGAAUGGAUUCCUUUCCUCCCCCAACAAUACUGCAUCACUUGCUUCAACACGAGAGAUAUUGGUAGUAGUAAAGAAUUCUUUGUCCUUUAUUUGUUCCUUCAGAAGCGAGAUCUGGAUCAGGCUUUUAGGACCUAAGUGACGAGUGCCUUAUAUACAAGUUCAUCAGUCGUAUCAGUAUUAUCAGCAGUUUCAAGAGAUAUUCUUUGAUAACUCCACUUUGCUUUGAGGGCGAGAGAUAGAUGAUUUGAGUGCUAGUAACGUGUUCUAGGUUCCAUGCCCCUCGAAAAGCUCAACUAAUUCCAUUUAUAUUGGCCUUGAUGAAGUAUAGUAUCUUUGGGUGGGAGUUCAGUCCAGGACUUUAGCCAACACCAACUGAUUCUACUAGGGAUGAAACUAGAACCAUGAACUUUAGGACUGGACUACUACUACCUGGACUACAACUACUUGGACUCACAGCCGAUCACCUCCCACCGCCUUCUUGCCUUCAUUUGAGAAUUGUCCAUUUCAUCCCCCAAUGCAAAGGAAGCCAAAAGGAAUUGAUUCAGGGAGAAAUCGUCUGCUCACCUAUAUUUCAUAUUAGAGAAUUCUAGCUCAAUGAUUAUUUAUGCUUGUCCUCGGUUCUUCUUUGAUCGGUAACAUGGUUAGGUGGAUUCUUAGAUUGAUUUGAGGAGAUAAUCCUGAGUGAGAUUAGUAAUCAACUUACAAAAACUCUAAUUGGCCUAGAAUAGAAGCUCAUAAAAAAGUACUCUUCUAAACACAUCAUGGCUCUAGAUAGAAUGAAAUUGACUGAACUCCGUUAGAUGCUUUACUUCAGCAAAAGAGAAUGAAUUGACGAACUUUAAUGCUGAGAGUAGAAAGUAGAGUGCUCUUUCCCAUGUCCGGUUGAGGGAAUAGAGGGGCAGAAAAGGAGUCCCGCUCGGAUCAGCGUGGGCCGUGCCAUAUUCUUCCAUGGGACAUCAAAGGAUUUCCUUAUUCCUUUUGAAAAGAGUACCAAAGCAUUUGAACAUACAGAAUAGAGGCGCAGGGCGCCCCCCUAAAACAAUGAUUCAAAUCCAUCUUCUAUCUUCUAUAUAUAUGGAAUGGAAUUAUUGCAAAAGUGCUUCUUCUUCUCCUGAAUAAAAGAGCUUUACUCGUCGGACACUAUGGUGGUUUUUGGAUUAUCUCGUUCAUGGCAAUAAAGGUGCUAAAUAGGCUAGCUUACCUAGCUUUUAAACACUCUAAAGCUGACCUGACCUGUUUUUCUUAUCAUGUUAGUCUUGAUUCCCAUCCCAAGCGAAAGAGUCCCUUUCUUCUCCACAGGAAGCAGUAUUCCAUAAUCUAGUAGGUAGAGUUCAAAACCCACUUAAAUGGAGAAGGUAAGACCUCAGACUCAAGGUGAAUAGUAAUAUGGAACCCUUUGAAAAGGGAAAAACACGGCUUUCUUUAAAAGUCCAGCAAAUCUCUCAGCAGGAACUCUAGAUUGUCUUACUCACCCUAACUAUAGCCAAUGGAAGUAAGCUUCUCUUUCGAUCUUGCGCCUUUGCUUUCAACUCAAUGAAAAAGUACUUAGAGUCAAAAGGCUUUGAUUGUGAAAAUAUGUUUCAGUCAUACAUAAGAGAAUCAAUCCAAAUGUGUUAACUCUUCUUCUGCUCGCUGGACUCCUUCAUCAGGAGAUCCCUGUCUCUAACGGUAUAUAUAUCUAUAUCUAUUUCAUAACCUUGCUGUAGCUGCAUUGUGGUUUUUUGCGUCACUGGAAUAAAAGCCCUGUUCCUUGGCUCGGGAUAUGUGUCCCACGGGAGUUAAGCAAUACUCAUAAUGGAUUUCUUUCGGCAGGUAUAAUGGCUUAUUCCGUCUUCGUUAUCGCGUCUUUUCAACCGCAUUAUUAUCUAUUACGUAGCUGGGAAGGGUCUCUUGUCUUCUUCUCGACCAGAGAAUCUAUGACUGCCGGGAAGGGUCUCUUGUCUUCUUCUCGACCAGAGAAUCUAUUACGUGUUGCCGGGAAGGGUUUCUUGUCUUCUUCGGUGGAUCAAUUGGCCGAAUGUACGAUCGAACAAGAACAGCUUAUUGUUUUAACAGAUAGGGGAACAAACAACAGCAAUGGCUUUCAAAGUCAUUAAGGUGCGUAGCGGAGCUGAAAGCCAAAAACAAGGGCCAUAAUAAUCAGUUCCGCCAUGUUGUGAGUUUACGUUCUUCUCUGGUGGAUUACUCCAUUUUCUAUAUGGAUACAACAGGAUUAUCUAUUUCAUUCUUUCUCUUUUAUGGAUUACUAAAUUAUAUAUUGAUUGCAAGCUACAGUAGAAUCAGAAGCCAAAGAACCAACAAACUACUGAAAUUGCAACCUAAGCUAAGGAUACAGAAAGAGCAGGUGAGGAAUAAGAUGCUUGAUAAGGAUAAGCUGCAACAUAAGAUGUAGUUCGCGAAUCAUCUCAAGUGGAGUUCUGGUUUUCUCAUAUAUAGAAUAAUCUCUUUUCGAAUGCCUACAUAGUGGUUAAGCGGAAGAGUAUCCGGGAAGAGCCUAAAGCGUAAGUCCUGUUUUCGUUGAUUUUUCCCUUGCUCCGGACGGUACGGUACGGUUUACAGUUUACAGUAGGCGCGAAGAUGCUGUUUCAAGAUCAUAAGCCUUCUUAGGUAUUGCAUAUAUAACAAAGUGGUAAUAUUCCAUUCCUCCUCUUUUAUAGACUCCGUAGGCUCUGCACUCGAUAGAUUCCAUUCCCAUUAUGGAGUGAGAGUGAAGUCGACAAGUUCAGAAGCGAUAUAAGGAUCUUCAGCAGGUAAAGAAUAAGUAGUAUAAGCAACAUAAGCAGCCAUGCAGUAAUCAACUGGGCCUGGCCUGGACUCUCUUAAGAAUGAAUUUCCUCUUUCGUAUCGAGCACGUGACAUAGAUGGGAGUAAAGACUCUUUCUGACUCGAGACGAACAGCUUAUUCAGUUGUAGAUGUCGACUUAACAAGCACUAAUUUAGAUCUGUCUCUUGAAACGAGAACUCCACUUUCCAUUUUACCUCACACACAAACGGACUUUCCUAAAGCUAACUCUCCUAAAGCUAGAUAGAGAAGAUACCGCGUAGUUAUUUAUCUGUAUUCUGGUUUCUUUCCCUUACUUAUAUUAAAGCUGCUUGUAUUCUUAUUACCUUAACCCAGCUUUCACUUCAUCUUUUGAGUAUUUUAAGCCAUGUUCAACGACUCGAAUAGCUAAUCUAUCUAUCAUGGAAUACCCCGCCAGACUGUUCUAAGGCAUUUAUAGCCUAACAUCAUAACCAGUUUCCUUUCGGGUUCAGUUACGCUUACGUGAGCGGGCAUGAUACCCUGUCUUUUCACCCAACCUUGUAGUGGGCAUUCAUUCUAGGUAAAAUCCGUGGCGUCAGCAACAACAUAGAUAAGUAAUAAUUCCAGAAUCGAACAGUCUUAUGGGGAUCUUUCCUUAGGAACUUUUGGGUAGUCCUUACUAGACUAGACCGAUCUUUUCACUUGAGCUUAUUCGUAGGAGCCUGGAAUGUAUAUAGACGGCUCAAAAGAAGGAAGGUGUUCAAGCAGAAUCUUAAGCGAAUCAAGAUGUUAGCGACGGGAUAGGUUCUUAAAAUGGAGUUCUCUGCUUUAAGGAAAGCCCCAAGCAUAUACUAUACGCGGAAGUACACACCUGGACUUGCUCAUAACUUACUAACGCAAGUAAAGACUCGGCAUAUCCAAGUAACAUAGCACCUACUCUCCCUAUAGAUGAGUAAUGGGAUAUAGAUGAGUAAUGGGAAGCUCUCAAGAUGAACAAUGAAGCUCUUGAUUCUGAUCGAACAAAAAAAAGAGUCGUGACACCUGGCCUGGGGAAGAAUGGAAUGUCCAAGUUACUGAUUAUUUUGUAGAACUUGUUACAAAGGAAGCAAUGGGGGAAUUGCCUGAGGAAGUUGAAAAGAAAGAGGUAGAUGCCUUGAUAGAGGAGGGUUGCUAGGGGUUUGGAUUCCAAAUGAGAGAUAGACAGGCCACUCACCUCAGGAUACAUACUACGAUGCACAAUAAUCAGAUUCCUACCAAGAUGUGGAGAUAGAGCCAGAAGUAAGGCGCCUUUCAUCAAUUUCCAUUAUCAUUGACAGGUGCAGCUCUUACAUGCAUUGCUUACGCCAUAAAACCAUUCCGCUUCAAUCAGGGGCAUUUCUCAAAAGAUUAUUCUAUGGAUAUUGUUUCUAAGGGAACCACGGAAGAAUUAAUAUGCGGAAUGCGUUGAAUACAUCGGAAAUGGUAAGGAAGAAGAAGAGCUGUUAAGGAUAGAAAGGGACAAAGGGAAGAUGAAGUCAAUAAGCCUGAAGGAAACCCAAGAUUAAUUUCACGAAGUCUAUUCUUUAUGUUGAUAAAUUCUUGUUGAUAUAGCACAAGCCUUUCAAGUCCUUGCUUAUGUUGAAUUCGGAACACAUGGCUCCUUAUCCUGAAUGGAGGGAACAUGUCCCAGAUCACCCGCAAAAUCCCACACCUUUCCCCGAAGCUGCUAGUGCUUCAGUGGUUCCUGUAGCUCUAGUAGUCGCGGCGGAUGCUACUGGGACGGACUUCUACAAAAAUCCAUCAGUUCACAAGAAGAUAAGGAUCUAACGGGCUCUCCACACCAUUCCUAUCUUUUCCUUAUCCAUCUGCCAUCCCCUAUCAUAAAUAUAGGAUUGUGGAGAAUAACAGAAAAGAGAGAAAGCUCAUGCAGAAUCACAGGUAUUCAGUCAACUGUCAAAAAACGGGUUCCAUGCCUUUCCUGUAAAGCAAUAAUGACUAUUCCCAUCUAGUCCAACGGGAAGCUUACCUUUAAUAAAAGGAUACUAAUCACAACGGGAACUCUUGGCGUAAACUCAAACGGAAUCCAUUCUAUCCCUUAAUGUAAUGUUGCUACUAUUGCUGGAUGGUGAAGCAGAGAGUUUGAAAGCAGCUUGACUUUAUGUGACAAAGGAAGCUAAGCUCUCUUGAGUAACCUUUAGAGAGUUAAGAGAGGAUAAGCUAUGAGGCAAAGAAAGAAGAUGCCAAUUGUUUGUUAACUAUCUUAUUCAUUAAAUAGAUAAAGAAGGGCAAUUGAUGGCUAGGCCUUGUUUGAGAACGCAAUCCCUCAUAGCGGUUAAGGGAAAAAGACCAAUGCUCACAGAGUUGAAGUAGCUGUAGUGUUAGUAGUAGGUGUGAAAGAGUAGCCGUGACGAUUAGCAGUUGCACCAGUUAACCAGGUCAUCAGUGGAAGCGAGGAACCAAUGCUGUCCAAAAAGCAAUCAACUCUUAUUCUGGAAGAGCAUCAAAAGCAGCUCGAAUGUUAGUGAGAGGAGCGAAAGCCAGAAAGCAGCUCGAAUGUUAGUGAGAGGAGCGAAAGCCAGAGUCCAGACCCAUUGUAGCAGAACAGAUAUAACUUAUCCAUCUCUCCCAUCCCGGGAACUCUUGCAAGGAAAUUCUUGGAUGAGGCGGCCCCGUGCACUGUCUAGUUGUGAUUUUCGUAAUGCCAAGGGAAAGAAAAGCAAUGAACUCCUAUAAUAAGUAACUAACGCAAUGGUGAGCUAACACUACGGCAAGAGAAAGGAAAGGAUUCAGUAAGCAAAGCAGGAAACAGAGUACGCACACAGCAUUAACCUUCGUUUUUUGGGGGGUUACCGGUGAUGAAUAAAGAGUGUUUAAAUGGACGGAAGUUCAAAAGAGUCCUUACUAGUAGUUUGAAAAGGGUAAACGGUAAUCAUUAUAGUUUUCUUGUUUGAAAGAUACAAAUGGAAGGCAAAGAGGUCUUACUAUAUCUUACUCUUUCAGGGUUUACGUCUAGAGUAUAUAAAAAGGAUGAAAGGAGAGUUCCGAGCCGAGAUAAUACGGUUUUUUGAGUGGAAGUCCUCCGCUGACUCUCACUAUCUGACAGGGCUAAACGAGCUAAAUAAACAUUGACCCCGCUCCCUACGAGUUUACCCCUACUAACGAGCGAAUGCGGGUGCAGACGAGUCUACUUGCAGAAACCAUUGACUAGGAUAAGCCCUUGCCAUUUCAGUGCCAGUCCCCUUUUAGAGUAUAUUCAACCAAGUGUCCCCUCUUUAGAGUCCAAAAGUACUAUAUAUCUUGUGUCCCCGAACUUCAAAUCUACCUUAGAUAAGUCCCAAUCUGAACCCUUUCACAUAUCAAACCUUUAAGUUGAAGAAGUGCUCUCGGCACGUGGGGUACCCAUCUGAAUCUUAGGCAAGCUAUCAAUUGAACAAGCAAGUUUACAAAAAUGAGUCUUUCCCGCAUCCAGGACAUACCAGGCGGGAGGAAGGAAGAAGAAGUAUCGAAAGCGAGAGUAUUGAAAGCUCCUUUUUGCAAUCCUGUACUGAAUCACUAUGGACCCAGUCUUUGUAGAAGUCCCCACAGACUGAGGAGCUAGCAGUGCUCUUGCAAGUGGUUAUUAAUAUUAUUUACGUAAGUAGGAGACCCCCCGUUACGUAAGUAGGAGACCCCCCGUUUCAUCCUGUUCUUAUGCUUUCGAGCGGAGGUGUUUGACUUAUACCUUUACUUCUCCUAGCUAGCCAUUUUGUUCCACCUUUGAGUCACCCCGUAAUGUGGAUCCAACCGAGGUUACUUACUGAUCCAAACUAUCCCCUAAAUUCUAUUGAGAUAGAUUACCCUUUCAAACGAGCUAAUGGGCUAACGGAGCUAAAUAAAUGAAAACCUCUCUCGCCAGAAAGCAAUAAGCUUAAUACUUUCACCAAUAUGUUUCAAUCCAAUAUGCUGAUGGCGGAAUGUAAUAUGAAAACUUUCACGACGUUCGGGAGAAUUUCCUCUUUUCUUUGUAGUUCCGUUACAAGGUGGUCCAUUCGAGGCAAUAAAUAGGGCAAAUGGGUUUCUUUCUUUCUUUGGAAAGGCUAAGAAUUGAUAGUUUGCUUAAGCUAUUGGGAGUGAAAUGAACGUUAACCUCCAGCUCGUUCCUCUCCUAUUAAGUGUCGAGUACUUUACUGAUUCGGGUAUUGAGAAGGAGUUUCCGUUUCAAAGCGGAGCGCAUCUAGUUCUCUUUAUAAUUGUCAACGGGUUGCUUUCGAUGAUGUCGAUCCAACCAAUCCAGUUGCUCUAACUGAGUUUUUCUAGUUUCGCUUUAGUUUGUCAAAGUGGUGAAUUCUCCUUGCAGUGAGGAAGGACUAAGGCUGUGUAUAAGGCCGAGAGCUUGGACUAUUCCUACCCCGUGGGAAGGUUUGUAGGAUUUCUCCCAAUAGUUUGGUUUCUCCCCCUGUUCUGGUUCACCUGAUAGUCUACUCGUCUCAGUAGUUGUUCUACGAUAGCCAUAUUAAGUAUUGCAUAGUUUCCUUCUUGGUAUAAGGCGACAGAGGCGGGACUUAGUAGGUUGGGUCAAGUUAUAUUUCAAGCCUAAAAUGUGGCUAAAGGCACUAAUGGCUAGAUUGAUUUCCAUGUCUUAGCCGGGAAGGUCUCACUAGAUCACUUUUCCUUAGGUUUUAGUUGCAGUGAAUGGAGAUUUCUUCUUUUCCAAUUAUAGCCCUAGAAUGCCCCAGUUUCUUUUAGUGCAGUGAGAGUUGCCCUCCAUGAGAUGUCGUUCCUCAACAUAAUGCCUGAUCGGAUCAGACCUCGUUCAAUACGAUGGGGCGAGCAAGGA